rnacentral:rRNA from 1 species
UACGAAGGGGGCUAGCGUUGCUCGGAAUUACUGGGCGUAAAGCGCACGUAGGCGGCUCUUUAAGUCGGGGGUGAAAUCCUGGAGCUCAACUCCAGAACUGCCUUCGAUACUGAAGAGCUCGAGUCCGGGAGAGGUGAGUGGAACUGCGAGUGUAGAGGUGAAAUUCGUAGAUAUUCGCAAGAACACCCGUGGCGAAGGCGGCUCUCUGGGACGGUACUGACGCUGAGACGCGAAAGCGUGGGGAGCGAACAGG